UGCCUAAAGAUUGCACCGCGUGCCCGUUGCCAUCUGCUUGCAGAGUGCCAGCGCCCAUGGGCGAACCAGUUGCCCCGUUCAAAUCCCACACACAGUCGCCGGCUGUUCGCCGUCACCGAUCACCUCCGCCGCGUCCGGAGGGGGCUUACACCCUCUCCCUCUGCUGUACUGUCUCUACUCUCUCCUGGCAAGCUCCCUGCUCAUCGUCGACGGGCUCUGCGCAAUGACCGCGGCUCCGGCGUAAGGGCUGUUCCGCGCCAUCCAGCACGUCGCCAAGAUAUGAAGAGACUAAGGUCCAAAAAAGGAAAUGGGAACCUUAUUGCUUCUCACCAACUGAUGUGAUAUUUAUUAUUUUGGCUGAUUAGCUGGAGAUCACCUAUGUGAAUAAAGGGAGUAUUUAAUUCUCCUGUUGGCAAGAAAAUUGUAUUUGACCAUACAAAUUUAACUCCUCAAUGCAACCAGCAUGUUGUAUGCUUCUAUGAAAUGCUAAUGAUCUUGUUUGCAUGACAUUACCAGCCACCAUUCUUCUUUCAAUUAAGGCCUAAAUUAAACACCUAAUGUUGAUAGUGGUCAUUCUUUUUGUAUUGUUAACAAUUAAGCUGGUGAAGCUCUUAAGUAAAAAUGUUCACUCCUCAUGAGUAUACUAUGCAACGUGUCGGAACUGAUUCGGUAGAUUUUACUUUAUUCUUUCUUGUGAUAUCAUAUGUGAUGUCUUACACGUUAGUACCUGGUGAUAACUUCUUGUAUAAUAUUACUUUUCGUUUGGAACAGCUGGCAUCAAGAGAAUACCCUCAACAAAAUGCUCAUUUUGCUCCGUGACUGUUUUUUUUUCUCCGUGACUGUUACAGGAGUGAUUACUAUAUUUGUUGACUUCGUCCUUCCCACAGUUGGUUCAGGAUUCAAGGACUCAAUGUUUCGCUUGUUUCUCCUCAGGAGAAAAAGGAUAUGUUGACCAAGCGCAGAUGCUAGUCCCAUUGUAUUGCUAAAUGUGAGAGAUGAGCAGCUGCAUUGACUUGGAACUUGAUUGAACUCAACCUUUCACUAUGACUUCCAUGUGCAGAGAGUUUUGGCUCCCAAAAUACAUCCUAUGAACAGGCCAUGCACUUGGGUCUGUGGAACAUGCAAAGUUUGAAGGGACCUUUGCCACAGUCCAGCAAACUUAUAUGGCUGCAUUGUUUAGAUCAAGUUUGCGUUUGGUCUGGAUGCCGGUCAUCUGAUAAGAACUCCUGCUGCUCUUUUGUAGUGUUGAGGUCAUUAAGUAUUUUGCACCCACUAUUCCUGCACCAACAUUAUGCAUUAUUGGAUUUUGUGAGCACAGUGGGGUUGUGAGUAACCAUGUCAUUAUCUUUGAACAUACUGAAACCAACUUUGUGGACCUUCAGUCAGCGAGUGUUCAUGGCUAUCCACUACCAAAAUGUGAACAUGAUGACAGUUGAGAGAUGCUAUUAUGCCAACACUAUGCGAUAUUGAGCAAUUAUUUUGAUCUCACUGUAAAAGUUUUUUUUUCAACAUGGUAAAGACUGCAGACCUUUGUUCAGAUAAUACCAUGUCACAAAGGUGCUAACAUUUACUGGGCAGAAACUGAGCAGAUGACUUGAUGCUUCCUAUUCAUACCCAAUUGUUGCACCUGAUAUAAUUUUCUAGAAUUGUCUGAAGCCUCUGUGAGAUGCAAGCAAAUACAUAUUCUCUGAGCAGAAUGUGAACAGAACAAAAGUUUCGGCUAAAAUUCUUGUCAUCCUGUCGUGGUCCAACAAUCUGAGCAAAUCAAGCUUUUGCUGAUCCAGAUGUUACAUAAGAGACCACGUACUGAAGUGGUGUGAUAAGGGAGCCCUGUUGAGCUUAGUAAUGAACUAAUGUCUCCUAUUAGAGGAACCUACCACUCAACAGAACUGACUAAACCAAAAGGUGAAGAAAACUACAGUUGGUCAUAACUGAAGGCACAAAGAGAACGACGUCAAGAAACGAUGCUACACCCUUCAUUAGUUGAUUCUGAGGAAAUUACAGGGUUGUUACAACUUUCAAAGGUCAAAUUCAUUGCCCCUUCCAUGAAGUGAAGAGCUUACAGAUACAAAAUUAUGGCAGUUCAGAGUUCAAAGCUUCACUCUAGUACAAUAAGGAUUAAGGAGACCCACCCUUCCAAUUAUGCAUUCCUAUCAAUGGCCAAACAUAUUGUAAAGUCAUGCUUUUGUCACGAUGAUAGUUUUUUCACAGCAAGGCCCAGUAACACAUGCCCAUGACUUCUUGAUUCUCCAGUUCACACAUCAAUUUUGUGAUGGUAGAUGUGUUUCCUACUCCUUUGAGCUGGCAGAAUGAAUCAGCAAAAGACACUAUGAUUUUUCGGAGAUGGUCAAAGGAUUGCCUUCUUGCAUGGCUGCUUAAUUUAUGGAAAAACAAUCUUUGGACCACCCUGAUAGCUGAUGCUCGAUCAUUUUCCUCACUUUCUUUGUGUGGAUGUGGCUCAUGGUAAAAUGAUAAGCACACCCUUAAUUCUAGCGAGAUUAUCUGACUUGACUGAUAAUUCUGUUGCACUUGUUUUUCAAUUUACAGUUUUUUUAGAUUAUCUGAACGACACCUGAACUUCAUGAAAAGUAGUCCACGUGCCUGAAAUUUUUCUUCUCAAAAUGGUAAGUUUGAGAUGACACUACCUUGCAGCCACUGACAGCUAAGAUGUGUAUUGGUUAUGUGGGUAGAUUGAGGGCACUUACAUUAACUAUGUGUGUUGAUCGAAUGAUCGGGGAUGCUUGUAUUCUGCAACGUGCCUAAUACUACUGGGAAUAACAUAUGCCUACUCUGACGAAGUAAUCUGUGCUUCGUUCCUGAAGUUCUUACUUGAGAGACCAGUUCAAGUUCAGAUUUCAGACUAUAGAGUUUCGGAGCUGGAUGAGAAGUGGAUGGGUAAAGGACAUGGGUUUUUGAGACGGGGAGAAUGGAAAGAGAUCAUAAAUGAUGUAGGCCAACGAACACAAACGAACAAAGAAAUCAUAUGCAAGCAUGUCUUGCUCCAAAAGUCAGUCAAUACAAGAGCUGAUUUUUUUUUACUAUAUUGUUCUUGAAGUCUUGAACUGAUACUUUUCGGUGGUUGGUAGCUCAGCUGAAACAAAGGUCAGCAUUGUGGAAUAUGGAAUCGGCUCAUCUAAUGAUCAAAUCCGUGAUGUAUCUCUCUAAUUCCAGAACGUGCUCUAACAACUUGAUACAGAUCAGAAUUGUGGCAUAUGCAAUUGACUUCUCUGAAUGACUCUACCUGUGAUGUGUUUGCCAAAUUUCCGAACGUGCUCAAAUUGACAGCUUGAUUGUCUUUUA